rnacentral:lncRNA from 1 species
UGGUACGUGCUGUCUCCCUUGCCUGGAAAACUUUCCACCUCAUUCCUACCCGGCUCGCGCACCUCCUCAUUUUAGACUCAGCUCAAACAGGCUCCCCAGAGAGAUCUGCUCUGGCCACUCUCUGCUGCUGUUCCCCCAUCUUCCUCUCAGGAACACAGAAUUGCUCAGUCUCUGAUAUGUUCUCAUUGUUGGCCAUGACUGGCUCAUUUUAUACAUAAUAUAAUAAAUAUAAAUCAGACACUCGAUACAAGAACUGAAACAUCAUCGUAACUUUCCUUCUCCCAUUAACUCCUUUCCUGUCUUGCCAUCUGCCUCCCCUUACCUGAGGCAAUGUCUACCCCAAAUCUUCUUUAACAUCUUUAAAGAACAUAACAGCUUUAUUGAGAUAUAAUUUACAUACCACAGUGUUCACCCACUUACAGUGCAUCAUUCAGUGGCUUUUAGUAUAUUUACAGAGUUGUGUAACCAUCACAGUAGAUUUUAGAAUAUUUUCAUCUUUCAUCAUUAGCAGUCACUCCCCCAUCUGCUCUGCAGCCCUUCUAAUCCCAGCUCUAGGCAACCACUAAUCUACUAUCUGUCUCUAUGGAUUUGCUUAUUCUGAACAUUUCAUGUAAACAGAAUCAUGCAAGUUGUCGCCUUUUGGGACUGACUGCUUUCAUUUAACAUCCUCUUUUCUGGAUUUAUGGUGUUGUAGUAUAUAUCAGAACUGAAUUCCUUUUUCUUGCCAAAUAAUAUUUCAUUGUGUGGAUAUACCACAGUUUCUUUACCAGUUAGCCAGUUAAUGAACAUUUGUGUUGUUUCGACGUUACAGCCAUUGUGAAUAAUGUUGCUAUGAAUAUUCAUAUGCAAGUUUUUGUGUGUCACACGUUUUCAUUUCCUUUGGGUAUAUACCUAGGAGUGCAAUUGCUAGGUCAUAUGGUAACUCUGUUUAGCCUUUUGAGCACCUGCCAAAGCAACUGCAUCAUCUUAAAUUCUAGCCAGCAGUUUAUGAGGUUACAAUUUCCUCUUUUGGGGCUGGGGAUGUGGCUUAAGUGGUAACGUGCUCUCCUGGCAUGCGCAGGGCCCUGGGUUCGAUCCUCAGCACCACAUAAAAUAAAGAUGUUGUGUCCACCGAAAACUGAAAAAUAAAUAUUAAAAAAACUCUCUCUCUCUCUCUCUCUCCCCCCCUCUCCCUCUCCUCUCUCUCUCUCUAAAAAAAAAAAAAAAACAAUUUCCUCUUUCACUUACUUUUAAAAAUAUACACUUAUUAUUAUUAGAGCUUGAUAGUUAUACAUAGUAGUUGAUUUCAUCUCCACAAACUCAUAUAUGCAUGGAAAUCAAUUCCCCUCCCCCAUCUUUUCCCUCUCACUAAAAAUAUACACUUUCUUAGCCUGGUGCCAUGGCAUAGGCCUGUAAUCCUAGCAGCUCAGGAGGCUGAGGCAGGAGGAUCACAAGUUCAAAACCAGCCUCAGCAAAAGCAAGGCACUAAACAAUUCAGUGAGACCCUAGCUCUAAAAAAUAUACUAAAUAGGGCUGGGGAUAUGGCUCAGUAGUAGAGUACCCCCUGUACAAAAAUAAAAAUUAUACACACACACACACACACACACACACUUUCUUAAAAAUGUGUUGUCUUGGAGCUGGGGCUGGGGCUCAGUGGUAAUGCACUUGCCUGGCAUAUUUGAGGCACUGGGUUUGAUUCUCAGCACCACAUAUAGAUAAAUAAAAAUAAAGGUCUAUCAACAACUAAAAAAAAAUUUUUUUUAAAGUGUUGUCUUUAGUUUUAGCAAAAGGAUAUCAUACUUCAUGCAGUAUCUCCUCUUUGCUUUCUCAGUGUUCAUCCACCUCUGAACCCCUUUUGAUAUUAUCAGAUGUCUUCAUUUUUCCCUGUAUAAUUCUCUCACCACUCUUUUUUCUUCAUAGUACUUGUCAUAUUCUGAAUUAUUUUCUUUGUUUGCUGCUUGCUGCCUGUCUUCUCUCCACUAGAGUGUCUGCUCUAAGAGGGUGAGAGUUUUGACUUUUUUUUUUUUUUUUGUUUUAUUGCUCUAACCCGAGGACAGUGUCUGGCAUUGUAUGCUGAACCUGGCCUCUACCACAGGCACGCCCAGCCCAGCAUGCCUCCUUAAAGCUUUCCAACUUACAUCUUCCUUCCUUCCUGCCCGCCUUCCCUUCUUUCCUCUUCCUAUUUUUUUUUUUUUUUUGGUAUGGUACAGGGUGUUGAAUCCACACUUAGGUACAUCACCAGUCCUUUUUUUGAGACAAGGUCUUGCUAAGUAAGUUGCCCAGGCUGGCCUUGAACUUGGGAUCCUCCUGUCUCAGCUUCCUGAGUAGCUGGGGUAGCCCUGCUCCCUCUCUAUACUUUCACUAUGUUGCCAUAGUCUGGCCAUGAACUACUGGGCUCAAGCCAUCUUCCUGCCUCAGCCUCCCCUGUAGAUGGGUUCACAGGCUCCUGGUGCUGUGCCAGGCUUUCCAUAUUUCUUUAGAAUGUGUGCUCAUUUGACACCUGGGCAGAUAAUUUUUUUUAACAUCCACCUCCUCUAAAUAAUAUUAUUUUCAGUAACAGCCAUGAAAUACAGUGAAUUAAUACUAGUGAUAAUGACCAGAAAAGAAAUAUACAUGGAACCCUUUUAUUGAACUUGGUAUAUAGACUUUUUUUUUUUUAGUUGUAGUCGUACACGAUAUAUUUAUUUAUUUAUUUAUUUAUUUAUUUUUAUGUGGUGGUGAGGAUCGAACCCAGGGCCUCACACAUGCUAUGUGAGCACUUUGCCACUGAGCUACAGCCCCAGCCUGGUAUAUAGACUCUUGCCAGUAAAAAUAAAUAUUACAGUGCAAAAAGCAGAACAGAGCUAAUAGAUCAAUACUUUUCAAUUACCUUAAUGUAUUUAUUUGAAGAAAUUGUAAAACAUACACACAUGGUGGCCUGUUGCAAUAAUAAUUCAUUAAUUAUGUUAUACUUUAAAAGCAAGUGAGAAAAAUAUCAAUUGAAAAAUAAGAGAUGCAGCCUGGGGAUAUAGCUUAGAGAUGGAGUACUUGCCUAGCAUAAUGUGUGAAGCUCGGAAUUCAGUCUCCAGUGGAACACACGCACACACACACACUAGGGCUGGGGGUGUGGCUGAGUGCUUACCUAGCAUGCACACAAGGCCCUGGGCUAAAUUCCCAGCAAAACAAAAACAAAAUGAAAGAGCCGUACCAGACAGGCAGGUAGCACAACCCUGUAAUCCCAGCUUCUCAGGAGCCUGAGGCAGGAGGAUUGCAAGUUUGAGGCUAGCCUGGGAAAUUUGGUGAGAACCUACCUCAAACAAGGCUAGAGAUGCAGCUGGAUGGUAGAGUGCCCCUGGGUUCAAUCCCUAGUACCACAAUCAAUCAAUCAGUCAAUCAAUGAGCUGGGCGGGGGUAGUAACUCAGGGUUCUGGGUUCGGUCCCUAGCACUGCAAAAUAAGUAAUAAGAGCCAAUUUCAAUAUUAAAUAUAUUCCAAUUUGAUAGUAGAGCAUAAGUUUACUAAACAGUAAUAGUAUAGUAUGAUCUUACUAAGUCAUAGUUACCACAUUUUCGAGUUUGUCUUUUCACUGUUUUAAAAUUUUAUUUAUUUAUUUAUUUUUUAAUAUUUUUAGUUGUUGAUGGAUCUUUAUUUUAUUUAUUGGUAUGUGGUGCUGAAAAUUGAACCCAGUGCCUCAUGCAUGCUAGGCAAGCGCUCUACCACUGAGCCACAACCCCAGCCCUGUUUUAAAAUUUUAAAUAGCAAAUUUCCAAGUGGUCACAUGAAAUGACAGUAUUGGCAACUCAAGUUCUGCUCUUUCAAAAGUCACUGUGCUGUCAUUGUUUUGGAUCUGUUGUUUAAACACAGACAUGUGUGGUACCAAAGGCGAUGGAGACACGACUGUGCAGGAGACGGCCUGAACAAUUCUGAACUGUUGGGGACUUACUCUCAAAAUGAAUGCAGACAGUUGAUUCUGGCUCCCUGGGUGUUAGGGCUGACUGUAUAACUGGGAAUGCUUUGAAUUAACUUCCUUGUAGAAGGCUUAUUACUGCAUAAGUAAUUAAAGUGUUCUGAUUUAAAGCUUACAAAUAUAUCAUUAAAACUCAAGCUAGACCAACAACUUGAUCUUCUUUGGGGAGGAGUAUUUUAUCACCAACAUGGUUUAGAAUUGUGGUUGCAUGGUGAUAAUAAAAAGCAGACUAACUUUCAAUCACUUUUAUUAUUCUCUGUAAUUCUCUGCAGACAGUGCACCCUGUCAAGGCCUGUGCAGCCCCACCGGGUACCCACUGCAGAGCAUCAAGGGACUCCUGCAGUUACCACUUCAGUUGUGCCACAAGGCCAGAGGACUCACCCGGUUUCCACUCUCACCAUUGUAUUCCCAGCACCUAGUGGAGCUUGGCACUAUGUAGGCUCUCAAUAUCUGUUCAGUCUCUGGGUACGGUGGUAUACACGUGUAAUCCCAGCGGUUCGGAAGGCUAAGGCAGGAGGAUCACAAGUUCAAAGCCAGCCUCAGCAACUUAGUGAGGUCCUGAGCAACUUGGCAUAGACUGGUAUAGACUCUGUCUCAACGUGAAAUAUAAAAAGGGCUGGGGGGCUGGGAUUGUGGCUCAGCGGUAGAGCACUUGCCUAGCACGUUCGAGGCCCUGGGUUCGAUCCUCAGCACCACAUAAAAAUAAAUGAAUAAAAUAAUGGUACAGUGUCAACUACAACUAAAAAAUAUUUUUAAAAAAAUAAAUAAAUGAAAAUUAAAAGGGCUGGGGGUGUGCUUCGGUGGUUAAGCAUCCCUGGGUUCAAUCCCUGGUAGAAAAAAAUAUAUCUGUUCAGGGAAGGAAAGAAGACACCAACUCAGGUGAGCUAGACUCCCCCCCACCUCCAACUAUGUCUAACUCCAGAAGGACCCAUCUUCAAACAAGUGAACCAGUGUUUUCCUCAGAGACAUUCAGAAUGAAAAGACAAGGUCGGUUGGUCCGUCUCUCUUUUCUCUCUCUCCCUCUCUCUCUUUCUCUUAAAUUCAUCUAAAUUUCUUCAUUUAAACAAAUUCAGAGGCUAUGAUAAUAAGUGUGUUAUAAGACCCUUUCUUUUUAUUAAAUGAUAGUAUAGAACUAUUUAUAUAAAUAAAUAGCUAUAUUUAUUUAUAUGCAGCACUGGGGAUUGAAUCCAGGUCUCAUGCACCAUUAGGGAAGCACUCUUUCUGUGAGUUACACCCUUAGCCCUCAUAGGUAGCUACUGAGCACUUGAAAUGUGGCUAGUAUGAAUUGAAAUGAUGCUGUAGUGCAGAAUACACAUUGGCUUUCACAUAUUAUUAUUAAAAAAAAAGUAACAUAACCAGGAGCCGUGGCGCACGCCUGUAAUCCCAGCAGCUCCAGAGGCUGAGGCAGGGGAAUCACGAGUUCAAAGUCACCCUCAGCAACGGUGAGGGGCAAAGCAACUCAGUGAGACCCUGUCUCUAGAUAAAAUACAAAAUAGGCUGGGGAUGGGGCUCAAUGGUUAAGUGCCCCUGAGUUCAAUUCCCGGUACAAAAAUAAAUAAAUAAAUAAAAAAUAAGUUCUGUUUAUAUAUUUCUAUUGAUUACACGUUGAGAAUAUAUUUUGGAUAUAUAUCACGUUUACUGAACUUACAUGUAAUUAAUAGUAGUCAUUAGCAAGUAAUGAUUAAUAAAG